rnacentral:rRNA from 1 species
CAAUAGCGUAUAUUAAAGUUGUUGCAGUUAAAAAGCUCGUAGUUGGAUUUGUGGCUGUCACGGGCGGCCUAUCACUUAGUGUUAGUGCUUGCCUGUGUCGCCAUCCUUGGGUGGAGCCCGUGUGGCAUUAGGUUGUCGUGCGGGGGAUGCCCAUCGUUUACUGUGAGAAAAUUAGAGUGUUCAAAGCAGGCUUAUGCCGUUGAAUAUGUUAGCAUGGAAUAAUAAGAUAGGACCUCGGUACUAUUUUGUUGGUUUGCGCACCGAGGUAAUGAUUAAUAGGGACAGUUGGGGGUAUUCGUAUUUCAUUGUCAGAGGUGAAAUUCUUGGAUUUCUGAAAGACGAACUACGGCGAAAGCAUUUACCAAGGAUGUUUUCAUUAA